rnacentral:rRNA from 1 species
ACAGCAGUCGCCGCGGUAAUACGGAGGGGGCUAGCGUUGUUCGGAAUUACUGGGCGUAAAGCGCACGUAGGCUGCUUUGUAAGUCAGAGGUGAAAGCCCGGGGCUCAACCCCGGAUGUGCCUUUGAGACUGCAGAGCUAGAACCGCGGAGAGGUGAGUGGAAUUCCGAGUGUAGAGGUGAAAUUCGUAGAUAUUCGGAAGAACACCAGUGGCGAAGGCGGCUCACUGGACGCGUAUUGACGCUGAGGUGCGAAAGCGUGGGGAGCAAACAGGAUUAGAUACCCCCGUAGUCCCUGUCUCUUAUAA